rnacentral:tRNA from 1 species
GCAGUGAUGGUUCACUGGUAGAGUUCUUGCCUCCCAUGAGGGAGACCUGGGUUCGAUUCCCAGCCAGUGCA